rnacentral:rRNA from 1 species
GAUGAACGCUGGCGGCGUGCCUAAUACAUGCAAGUCGAGCGAAUGGAUUAAGAGCUUGCUCUUAUGAAGUUAGCGGCGGACGGGUGAGUAACACGUGGGUAACCUGCCCAUAAGACUGGGAUAACUCCGGGAAACCGGGGCUAAUACCGGAUAAUAUUUUGAACUGCAUGGUUCAAAAUUGAAAGGCGGCUUCGGCUGUCACUUAUGGAUGGACCCGCGUCGCAUUAGCUAGUUGGUGAGGUAACGGCUCACCAAGGCAACGAUGCGUAGCCGACCUGAGAGGGUGAUCAGCCACACUGGGACUGAGACACGGCCCAGACUCCUACGGGAGGCAGCAGUAGGAAAUCUUCCGCAAUGGACGAAAGUCUGACGGAGCAACGCCGCGUGAGUGAUGAAGGCUUUCGGGUCGUAAAACUCUGUUGUUAGGGAAGAACAAGUGCUAGUUGAAUAAGCUGACACCUUGACGGUACCUAACCAGAAAGCCACGGCUAACUACGUGCCAGCCGCCGCCGUAA